AACGAUGUGAGAAAGAUCGCUGAUGGAAUGAGAUGGGACACGAAAUUGAUGGAUCAUGAAGAUGGUCCUCUCGUGCCGGAGAAAAUUCUCGUCGCCGUUAAACAGUAUUGGGUCGCCGGCGGCGAUGGAAACAGUCCGUCAUCGUCUGCUGAUAAUAGUGAAGAAGAGUAAAGAAAAACUCAGGUAUUGGAUUUUACAGUCCCUGUAAGUUUACAUGUUUUACCUGAUUUUACCACGAAGUUUUGUUAAGAUCAAUUAAACGAUUGUGGACUUUUCAGUUACAACCCAAGAACUGUGAAAAUUUACAAUUUGAACCCUUUCUUUAUAUGUUCGAGAUAGGAUUGAAGAGUUUUUUUUUUGGUAUUUUAUCAGGUGG
rnacentral:lncRNA from 1 species